GGAUGGAUUAUAUAUACGGAGGAUGUGCAUUUUCCUGGGAGUGUGGGUUCUCGUGUGUGCGGGCUGUGGCAGGGGUGGAGUUCUCAUUGCGCUGUUCCUCUUCAAACGUUCAUGACUGGCUUUUGCCUUGGGGGGCCUUCGUUCUGCUCGGACGUCUCUUCUGGUGUGCGAGCCCCGAGGUUGGUUCAGUGUUUUGUCUGGGAUGUACUUCCAGGGGGGCUGCGGCUCUUUAGUGGGGUGGUCAUUGACUAGCUUCUCCUUUUUGCUUCUAGUAAAGAUUUCCAUGGACUCGGCAAGGAUUGCGUUCUUGUCUUUCUCCAGGCCCCGAGCUGCUCUCGCACCUGCCCGGUCG
rnacentral:lncRNA from 1 species